CCUACGGGAGGCAGCAGUGGGGAAUAUUGGGCAAUGGGCGCAAGCCUGACCCAGCAACGCCGCGUGAAGGAAGAAGGCUUUCGGGUUGUAAACUUCUUUUCUCAGGGACGAAGCAAGUGCCGGUACCUGAGGAAUAAGCCACGGCUAACUACGUGCCAGCAGCAGCGGUAAUACGUAGUUGGCAAGCAUUAUGCGGAUUUACUGGGUGUAAAGGUCGUGUAGGCGGGACUGCAAGUCAGAUGGGAAAACCACGGGCUCAACCUGUGGCCUGCAUUUGAAACUGUAGUUCUUGAGUACUGGAGAGGCAGACGGAAUGCGUAGUGUAGCGGUGAAAUGCGUAGAUAUUAGGAGGAACACCAGUGGCGAAGGCGGUCUGCUGGACAGCAACUGACGCUGAGGCGCGAAAGCGUGGGGAGCAAACAGGAUUAGAUACCCGGGUAGUC
rnacentral:rRNA from 1 species